GCUGGGGUAGCUCUGUGGUAGAGCACUUGCCUAGCAUGCAUGAGACCCUAGGUUUGGUCCCCAGUC
rnacentral:tRNA from 1 species